UGGGGAAUAUUGCGGCAAUGGGGGGAAACCCUGACGCAGCAACGCCGCGUGAAGGAUGAAGGUCUUCGGAUCGUAAACUUUUGUCUUAUGGGAAGAAACCAGACGGUACCAUAGGAGGAAGCCACGGCUAACUACGUGCCAGCAGCCGCGGUAAUACGUAGGUGGCAAGCGUUGUCCGGAUUUACUGGGUGUAAAGGGCGUGUAGGCGGGUAGGUAAGUCAGAUGUGAAAUACCGGGGCUCAACCCCGGGGCUGCAUUUGAAACUGCAUAUCUUGAGUAUCGGAGAGGAAAGCGGAAUUCCCAGUGUAGCGGUGAAAUGCGUAGAUAUUGGGAGGAACACCGGUGGCGAAGGCGGCUUUCUGGACGACAACUGACGCUGAGGCGCGAAAGCGUGGGUAGCAAACAGGAUUAGAUACCCUGGUAGU
rnacentral:rRNA from 1 species